rnacentral:sRNA from 1 species
GAGUGCUGAAGUAUCGAGAGAUGAAGGUGGAGCGAGUUAAGGUUAAGCGAAAGCUAAAUGUUGCGGAAGGAUAAUAAACUAUGAGGGUGCUCAUCAGGGGUUCCCGGUUCUCGAAAAGACAGUAGAGAAGAUCAUGUUGCAUGGCAAUGUGUCGUAAACGCUUAAGCGGCUUAGCUGUAAUUCCUACGUGUGCGGGCGAUAUAGGAUAAAGGCACACCUACA